rnacentral:rRNA from 1 species
UACGGGGGGGGCAAGCGUUGUUCGGAAUUACUGGGCGUAAAGGGCUCGUAGGUGGCCAACUAAGUCAGACGUGAAAUCCCCCGGCUUAACCGGGGAACUGCGUCUGAUACUGGAUGGCUAGAGUGUGGGAGAGGGAUGCGGAAUUCCAGGUGUAGCGGUGAAAUGCGUAGAUAUCUGGAGGAACACCGGUGGCGAAGGCGGCAUCCUGGACCAAUAUUGACGCUGAGGAGCGAAAGCUAGGGGAGCAAACGGG